rnacentral:rRNA from 1 species
GGGUUCCUACGGGGGGCAGCAGUAGGGAAUCUUCCACAAUGGACGAAAGUCUGAUGGAGCAACGCCGCGUGAGUGAAGAAGGGUUUCGGCUCGUAAAGCUCUGUUGGUAGUGAAGAAAGAUAGAGGUAGUAACUGGCCUUUAUUUGACGGUAAUUACUUAGAAAGUCACGGCUAACUACGUGCCAGCAGCCGCGGUAAUACGUAGGUGGCAAGCGUUGUCCGGAUUUACUGGGUGUAAAGGGAGCGCAGGCGGGAAGCCAAGUCAGCUGUGAAAACUACGGGCUUAACUUGUAGACUGCAGUUGA